GAAAAAGCAGCAAGUUAUUUCAGUGUAAGCACCUUAGAUAGCUGCCAUCUGCCCUGCAGUUGUGUAAACCCCACUGUAGCUGUGUGCAGUGGGCUCAGCUGGGUUCCAGUUCCUGCAGAUCAGCCAGCUCUGGGGGCAGUGCUGACCAGCCCUGCACUGGGGCAAUGCAGUGCUGCCCCCCAGGGAACAGAGCAAAGCUCCCGGGAAAUAAUUCAACAGUUUGGUUGGCCUGUGAUGCAAAUACAGACUUCUCAGGUUAUGCAAAAAUAAGCUGGAAACCCACAGAACAUCACCAAAAUAGACUAAAGGGAGARUGACUGAUGAUUGUCCAAAUGGGCCUGAAAGGAAACGAAAAGGCUGGGAAAGACAGAGGACAGGAAGGUUUCUGAGUAGCUGUGGUCCCCAAAAUCCUCUCCUCUGUCCUUCUUUUAUUUUUGUAGUCUGAUGACAGAGAAAAAAACUAACCCAUCAUUUCCAUAAUCCUAAAUCCUUAUCCUUCAUCUGGAAAACUGACACSAAUUAUGACUUUAGAUUCACAAUUUACUAAUUCAGAAUCUUGUCAGAGAACAGUUAUUUGCAUAUUCAACUCUGUUAUUUUCACUGGUCUGUGCCUAUAUUCUGUGUCAAACAAAGCUUUUAUGUUACCUUUUAAUGGUGUUACAAAUAGAAGGGUCUCUUCAUUAUGUGGGCCAUAUUGGUUAGCUCAAUACUUCCAACUGUUCUUCAUCUCUGUUACUUUUUGAUUCAAGAAGCAAAUUUACUGAAAAAAAUGUCAAGGAAAAAAAAGUAUUUUAAAAUUGAUCACUUAAUUGUUGAUGUCUAACAAAGCCAUCUUUGAGUUAUUUUGGAAACAUGGUAAAUUUAGGAUGUAGCUGAUCUUAAAUGGGGCAUUUCUGGAUAAGAUUUAAAGCAAGACUUGAAAAAUUAAGACACAAUCUACAGGGAGGAGCCAAGUCAUGAAGUCUCUUCUUUCUCUCCUUUCCCAGUCUGCCACAUACAGCCAUAAUUCACUAAGGRAGUGUUGGAACAUUUUCACAACUGCAAGAGCUGGGACAGAAGGAAUGGGUGAAGGAAAUGCAUUUGACCAUUUAGCUCAUACAUGGAGAUUCCCGUGCAAUGAAAACGUACAGCAUCGUGCCAGGACUAAAAGAAACAGUUUGUGAAAAGGACUCAGAGAAACAAACCUGCUUACAGGCUCCAUUCAGCUCUGAAAAUGACAGCCCCGCUCUGACCAACGCUGUUCUCUCUACAUUUUCCUGCAGGAGAGGAGAAAUGCGCAAUGUCGCUGCUCCCCGUUGGUGACUUUGUGUCUCUUUUCUGAUCAUCUCUCCAAGCCUUGCUCAUUGCCUGGAAAAGUUGAUACUUAAUGGUAACAGCCCAAGGAAACAGUUUCUCCUUUCCCCACCACAUUUCACUGCUGGAACUGCAAGCUGUGAUGAGGGACAGCUCUUGUCUCAAUGAAAUAGAGUGAAGGUUCCAUUCACUGCACCAGRGUCAAAACUUCACCCUCGGGACCUAUUGGUAGAAAUAGGAGGGAAUUUCCAUUUUCACAGAGAAUUUGCAACCCUUAAUUGUGUUGAAACUUCAAAUAUUUUCUUCCCAGGGCAAAGUUCGUAUCUUAUUUCAGAUGAAUGUAGUGGCUGAGCRUCAUCUGCUGCUGGAAAACCUUUAGAAGUUCCCUAAAACUAAAAGAKGCAUAAAAGAGAAGCAGAAUGGGAAAGGGUUGUUGGUAUUAAACACCAACACAAAGCAAGCUGGGCUUUUUGUCUGUGCCCUUCCCCCUUUUUGUUCACACACUCCUCUUCACCCUUCAGACAGCCCUAGAAURCUAAUUUUUCUAAUCACUAGGGGAACGAGAACUAUUAUAGAAAUCAACCAAAAUAUUAUUUUAAACCUUGUUUAAUUAGACUUGGUCCACACUACAAAUAAAAUCCUAAUCUUUCCCUUCUUAACUUUACAAAAUGGUAUUUCCCACACCCUGUACAACCUGUCACAUUCAAAUUCAAAGAAAAUAUUUGAAACCAUUCUCAAAAAGGAUGUUUAAUACAAACUGGCAGGUGGRAUUUAUGAAUAAAUGGUUUUAAAURAACAUCURAUUGUCUCUUCACUGAUGCUUAGGAUUUCUCUCCAAUAGCAGCAGAUGAUAUGGAUGCUCAGAAAGAUUCAGUAAAAUGAUACUGGAAUGAUAAAGGUCUGAUCUUGUUAUUCUUUGUUGGGGUUUCCACCAAUUUCUGAACUUUAAGGUAUUCAAUUAUUCUGUUUUUCUCAAGGGUAAAGUAUGCAUGUAAACCCCCAUUAGCACUAAGAACAAUGUGCAAACCUUCACACAUCAAAGAUGUGACUACGUGCUUUUGUCUAUCCUAAUUGGUUUGAGAGAAAACCUUGAUAAAUCAACAUGAGAUUUCUUUAUCUUUUCCCUUUUUCUCUCUUAAUUUUUGUUGUCUUGAUUAGAUAAA